GCUCUAGGAAAUGUACAUAUCGCCCGUCGCCCUACUCUAAAGAUUAGGUAAGUCGUAACAAAGU
rnacentral:tRNA from 1 species